UACGGGGGGGAGCAAGCGUUGUUCGGAUUUACUGGGCGUAAAGGGCGCGUAGGCGGCCACCGCAAGUCGGAUGUGAAAUCCCCAGGCUCAACCUGGGAACUGCAUCCGAUACUGGAUGGCUUGAAUUCGGGAGAGGGAUGCAGAAUUCCAGGUGUAGCGGUGAAAUGCGUAGAUAUCUGGAGGAACACCGGUGGCGAAGGCGACAUCCUGGACCGGUAUUGACGCUGAGGCGCGAAAGCCAGGGGAGCAAACGGG
rnacentral:rRNA from 1 species